AUUCAAAUCCUUUAACGAGGAUCUAGCGGAGGGCAAGUCUGGUGCCAGCAGCCGCGGUAAUUCCAGCUCCGCAGGUGUAUAUCUAUGCUGCUGCGGUUAAAAAGCUCGUAGUUGGAUCUGCGUGCUCGGAACUGGUUGGCUCACUGAGUUCAAACUGGUCUCCGGCGCUUUAUUGGCUGGUUUUCCCUUGAUGCUCUUAACCGGGUGUCUUGGGUGGCUAGCACGUUUACUUUGAAAAAAUUAGAGUGCUCAAUACAGGCGUAAAGCCUUGAAUAGUGGUGCAUGGAAUAAUAGAAUAGGACCUCGGCUCUAUUUUGUUGGUUUUCGGAACGCGAGGUAAUGAUUAAGAGGGACAGACGGGGGCAUUCGUAUUGCGACGUUAGAGGUGAAAUUCUUGGAUCGUCGCAAGACGGACGACUGCGAAAGCAUUUGCCAAGAAUGUUUUCAUUAAUCAAGAACGAAAGUUAGAGGUUCGAAGGCGAUCAGAUACCGCCCUAGUUCUAACCGUAAACGAUGCCAACUAGCGAUUCGCAGGCGUUAAACAACGACCUUGCGGGCAGCUUCCCGGAAACGAAAGUGUUCGGGUUCCGGGGGAAGUAUGGUUGCAAAGCUGAAACUUAAAGGAAUUGACGGAAGGGCACCACCAGGAGUGGAGCUUGCGGCUUAAUUUGACCCAACACGGGAAAACUCACCCGGCCCGGACACCGUAAGGAUUGACAGAUUGAGAGCUCUUUCUUGAUUCGGUGGGUGGUGGUGCAUGGCCGUUCUUAGUUGGUGGAGCGAUUUGUCUGGUUUAUUCCGAUAACGAACGAGACUCUGGCCUACUAAAUAGUGGGCGGAUUCUUUCUGUCCGCAACACUUCUUAGAGGGACAAGCGGUGUUCAGCCGCACGAGAUUGAGCAAUAACAGGUCUGUGAUGCCCUUAGAUGUCCGGGGCUGCACGCGCGCUACACUGAAGGAAUCAGCGUGCUUUCUGACCUUGCCCGAAAGGGCUGGGUAACCCGAUGAAAAUCCUUCGUGAUUGGGAUAGGGACUUGCAAUUAUUUCCCUUGAACGAGGAAUUCCCAGUAAGUGUGGGUCAUAAGCUCGCGUUGAUUACGUCCCUGCCCUUUGUACACACCGCCCGUCGCUGCCCGGAACUGAGCCGUUUCGAGAAGAACAGGGACCGUCGUUGAAGGGCCUUAACGGGCUUUUCUCUGAUAGAAACUGUU
rnacentral:rRNA from 1 species